GAUGAAGAACGUAGCGAAAUGCGAUAAUUAAUGUGAAUUGCAGAAUUCCGUGAAUCAUCGAGUCUUUGAACGCACAUUGCGCCUCAUGGCAUUCCGUGAGGCAUGCCCAUCUCAGCGUUAGAAAAUAUUCUCAAAUUUUAGUUUUGUGCUAAAAUUUGGAUCAUGUCAAAGAAGCUAUUACUAUUAUUGUGAUCGCUCUUUGGAAAUUGAUAGGUCUUUGAGUUGCUACUCAUAGAACGUGAUGAAUCUCUCUUCGUUCUAUUGUAAUUCACUCUGGUAGUCCUAAAACUUGUAUGCCUGUAGUAUAUCUUGUAAUUUGACCUGAGAUUGGGUAGGGAUACCCGCUGAACUUAAGCAUAUCAAUAAGCGGAGGA
rnacentral:misc_RNA from 1 species